UUAGUUUUAAAGCAGACUGUUUGUUAAUUUUUGUGAUAAUUGUAAUAUAAAUUAUAUUAACUUGCUCUCCUCUCAGUUUCUAAUAAAGAUCAGGGCACAGGUGAAGUCACUGUCAGGGCAUUGUGCUACAGGUCCAUGAGGAAAACAGAUAAACCUCACAGUUUGAGUGUAUGGUGAAGCUAGAAUUGAUAAGACCGCAGUUACAGGCUUGUUACUUUAAUAGCCCGAUGUUCCUGGGGACUCGGCUAAGGUUAUUCAUGUUUAAUGUAACUCAAAUCAAAUGAAAACAGUUAUUGUAGGCAGGUAAGUUACCCUAACUGGUCCCCUCUGUGUAAAAUGCGUUCUUAUUCAAGUUUUCAACUCAGUCAUUCAUUUAAGAUGCAAUCUUGUGUUAUAAGUAUUAGGCUAUCAUGAUUAUACAGUGAGCAAGCUAUAUAGAUAAGUAUUUAAUAUAAUAAAAGUGUAGAGCAACAACCGAGGGUGUAAGGUAAAGGCUGAAUAUUGUAGAUUUAUUACAAUAUGUUGCAUGUUUGAAUUAAAAUACCUGUGGAUAUGCAGGAGCACACACUCUACAAAGGCCUGACUGGAGAUUUGCCUGAUCUAUCCGUCCUUCAGGUGAGUAGGGAUACAACAAUAGCAAAUUUCACUGUACAGUAUGAUAUAUCAACCAAAAUCUGUAUACCAAUAUUUAAUUAUUUUCUUUUUCCUCCCCUUUUAUAUGUUAUCAUAAGGGUUCUUCAUUAUGAACUUGUAUGCCAUGCAUAACAUACUGUGGAUAGAAAUUACAGGGAAAGUUACUGGUAUGAUAAUUGUGAUUAUAUUAUAUUACUGUUAUAUUUAGUGUAUUGCUAAUCAAUAUAUUGUUACUUCCCUGGUGACAGCGGCUCACUUCAAGAGCAGGUGAAGCAAGUUGGGACAAUGUUGAAGACAUUUGCUCGCACUGGGCAAUCGGGUACAACUUGCAAACAACACCUGUGGUUGUUGGUUUAAUUCCCACUGGGGCCACCUGUACAUGUAGUAGACCUAGAUAUAAAUGUCAUAGUUUAGUAGUUGAAGGACCAGGACUGACUACUUUAUUCUUUUAUUCUGGGAACCCCUGUAGGUGCAGAUCAAACCCUAAUGCUGCGGCGUCUUGGAGUUUGGCGAUGUUGUGCAUAGCAUGGACAACAAAAUGCUAUGCUGCAACAUUUCAGUGCCAAUGUGUCUGUUGGAGAGUUAUCCCUGCCAGGGGAUCUGUUACUCCCCUAGACACCCAGGAAGAUUUGGUGUUGCUUGACAACAGUUUGAGGCAGGAUAAAGAGCUCCAGCAACGAUUUCUUCGGUGUUUGGCAAUCAAAUGUGGGAGGGACCUAAAGACAACCGUGUGGCUGAAUGCUUCAGAGUAUCUUCUCUAAUCACCUUUCCAUCAAUACAACCUGGACUGGUGUAGGGGAUAAAGCAUGUUUUAGAGACAUGUUCCUGAAGACCAUUGUUUAAAGAGCCAUCCGGAAGAACCCGGCAACCCAGCAUGCCACUGAUGAGGCGAUCCAGGUUAGCGUUAGCGUUACCUAAAAGGAGCAUCUGAACAUGAAGGUGGAAAA